rnacentral:rRNA from 1 species
GUGAGUAACGCGUGGAUAACCUGCCGUAUACCGGGGGAUAACACUUGGAAAUAGGUGCUAAUACCGCAUAAGCGCACGGCUCCGCAUGGGGCAGUGUGAAAAACUCCGGUGGUAUACGAUGGAUCCGCGUCUGAUUAGCUAGUUGGCGGGGUAACGGCCCACCAAGGCAGCGAUCAGUAGCCGGCCUGAGAGGGUGGACGGCCACAUUGGGACUGAGACACGGCCCAAACUCCUACGGGAGGCAGCAGUGGGGAAUAUUGCACAAUGGGGGAAACCCUGAUGCAGCGACGCCGCGUGAGUGAAGAAGUAUCUCGGUACGUAAAGCUCUAUCAGCAGGGAAGAAAAUGACGGUACCUGACUAAGAAGCCCCGGCUAACUACGUGCCAGCAGCCGCGGUAAUACGUAGGGGGCAAGCGUUAUCCGGAAUUACUGGGUGUAAAGGGAGCGUAGACGGUAAUGCAAGUCUGGAGUGAAAGGCGGGGGCCCAACCCCCGGACUGCUCUGGAAACUGUGUAACUGGAGUGCAGGAGAGGCAGGCGGAAUUCCUAGUGUAGCGGUGAAAUGCGUAGAUAUUAGGAGGAACACCAGUGGCGAAGGCGGCCUGCUGGACUGUAACUGACGUUGAGGCUCGAAAGCGUGGGGAGCAAACAGGAUUAGAUACCCUGGUAGUCCACGCCGUAAACGAUGAUUACUAGGUGUGGGUGGGUAUGGACCCAUCGGUGCCGCAGCAAACGCAGUAAGUAAUCCACCUGGG